UGGAAUAAACUUGGAAGUUAUUGUACAUGC
rnacentral:piRNA from 1 species